UCAAGAGUAGACCUUCAGGUCUGAUAGUGAUGAUUGUGAAAACAAUAUUAUUAAUAAAAUAUUAUGAAAAACGUUCAAGGAUACAGAAUUAUCAACUAUUUCAAAGACCUGUAAACAUAAUAAUACCUUUCGUGUCUGUUACAUUCUAGAUAUCUAUAAUAGUAAGCUGCGUACAGUGCGGCAGGUUGCGACCGCGCAUCUAGAUUACGGUAGCGGUGGCUGUUGCCGCAGUAGACACGUCAUACGGGUGCCGCGUCGUGGGAGGGUCCCUUGGCAACGGCCCCUCUCGUCCUCGACAUAAUAGUUAUGCGUGGGCUACGCAUGACGUAACCAGUAUUACGUCCUCACCUAGAACAUCUACUGUGAUAAUGACGCACACGGGAUAUCUCGCAAGCGUCAGAACUUAAGGGUCACUUCAUUUAUGCAUGCUGUUUUAUUACGCCUUCAUACAUCCGGGAAUCGUGCACGAAACUGAAAUAUUGUAUGAAAUAAUGAUGCGUGGAACAUGUUCGCGGGUUUAAUCCGCUUGCGUGAUGAAUUGGUUUAUUAAAAACGAGUAUUAUUAAGUUAAUAUACAAGUGAAAUCGGAAUUGUUAACAUUAAUUUAAUAGUGUAUUCUAGUAAUUGUAGAGUGUAUUCUAUUUGACCACAACAGAAUAUCAGUGUUUUGCUCUUUUGAGGGCAAAGCAAUAAAUUGAGCUGUGACCAUUUUGUGUUAUUGUGGCACAUUCAUGAAAAAUUAUGUAACCUCUUUUAUGUGCUUUCUUAUAGUUUUUUUUUUUGUAUAUGUUUUGUUUUAUUUAUUUUUUAAGUACGUACCAAUAUUUAAUGUUAUUUGUGUGCUGUAAGUGACGCAAAUAAAUUAUGUAUCUAUGUAUCUAACAAUGAAAUGAAUUUAUUUUUAAGAAAAGCGCAGAUUGACAAAUGACAGACAUAUUUAAACCUCCAAUACUAUACAGCGCAUCCACUUAUUUAGAGGUAUGGUUAAUAUAAUAUCUAUAUUACCUAUAUCUCUAAUAUAUGAAUGAAUGAUUGAAUGAGUAUAUUUUAUUUGCAUUAUACAAUAUAGGAAAUAAGCAAGACAAUUUACAAACACAACAAUACAACAACAAUACAAUUGUAUAAGUACAGUAAGGCGGUCUUAUUGCUAAGAGCAAUCUUUUCAAGACAACUUUAAGGUAAAGGACUAAUUGUUGUACAACUACAUAUAUAUUGUAUCUAUUUAUUAUGUAAUAUGUAUAUAUUGGAUUUCUCUGGAUAUUGAUGGUGGAAAGAAGGUCAUCACUCAUUUCGUUAUCACCCAUAUUAAUCCGGUAUUUAUAUUAAUUUCGAUUGAUUUCUUUAUAUAAUAUUAUGUAAUGGGUACUUAACAUAUCUAUUAUUAGGCCUUUAUUCACUUGUAAAUAAAAUAUAUAGAUAUUGCUAUAUAUUACCUAUUAAGUUUUUUGUUAUGCAAUUUAGAAUAAAAAAUAAGCUAACGGCCCACCUGAUGGAACGUGGUAACUUUCGUCUAUAGAUAUAAAUAGUAUAUAAGUUAAUAUAAGAGGCUCAAAAAUUUUCAAUAAAUUUCUGUUUCAAUAUGUUCUAUGUUUAACGACUUAAAUUUUACAUUGUAUAGCUAAAAAGUAUUAUUUUAGUUCUUUAAUGUUAGAGUAGAUAACCUCAAUGGUAAAAAUAUUAAUUCUUUUUAUUAUUGACAGUCUAUUGAAGUUUGCUAGUCUACUAAUAAAACUUGAAGACCGAUGUCUUUUUCCUGUUGUACAUUAUUUUAUUAAGCUUUCUCCAACAUGGUAGCAGAGCGUAAAGUGAAUAUUUUAAUUACAUUUAAUACGUCUAACGAUACCUACGUCCAGUCGCAGUUAGUACAGAAACAGUUUCGGCUUAGGCAGUUACUAAUACUAGAUACUAACCUAUGCGCUUAGUUUGAAUACCUGAAAUAUCAGUCAAAUCCGUUCUGCAGUUUAGGCGUGAUUGAGUAACAAACAUACAAACAUUCAAUCAUCUAUACAAGCUUUUAUAUAUUUUUCGUAAGAUAAUCAGUUAUCGUAGUUUUAAGUCAACGAAGUAAUAUUAUUAAUAUUUGAUGUUUAGCGUUUGUGCCUUAUUUAGAUACAACAGUUAUUUUGUUCCGUGAAUUAACUUCUCAAAUCAACUUUCUACUAUUUACCUGCGAGAUCCAUUAUAAAUAAAAGUGUAUUAGUUGUUCAAAUAACAAUUUAUUUAUUUAUUACUUUGUGGAUAGAAAGCAGAUUUAGUUAAACGUAGUCUUGCCCGCAUGGCAUCGGAUUUAUAUGCUGAACAAUAAACCUGAUGUCAUGUAGGCAGUAAAUGUAGUAUUUAUACUAUAUUAUAUUAUCCAAUUGUUCUUUUAUUUUUACCUAUAUAAAUAAAAUAUAAAUAGGCAACUUAUAUACAUAGGAGAUAUAUAACAAAAAAAUAUAUGAACGGUCUUAAUAUCCGAUCUGAGCAAAAGCCAAAACAAUAAUCUUUAGAAAUUGGGACAUGAAAAAACGUACGAUGGAAGACCGCCAACCUCUGCGUUUUUCAAUUCACUUUAUUCCACGCACAACCACUCUUUGGAAUCAACUUCCAGCAGCAGUAUUUCCGAACCGAUACGACAUUAUAACCUUCAAGAAAAGAGCAUAUUCCUUUUUAAAAGGCCGACAGCAUACCUGCAAUGCCUUUGGUGCUAUAGGUGAUUAUUGGCAGCGGUAGUCACUUACCAUCAGGUGAGCAGCAUGCUCGUUUGCCCCCUGUGUUGUAAAAAAAAAAAGAUUUUCUGUCGGUUUGAUUAAGCGUCACGUAAAAUAUGGGACCUAUAUAUUUUAGUUACAAUGUCUAUAUAUUUUUCAUGUGAUCUACAGUGGGAGGGUAUUCAGAAAAGGGGUAAAAAUGUUUCUUCAGAUUCGGCAAUACGCGCGUAAUGCCUGCGAAUCGUUUAUAGGCUACGGUAAUUGCUUACCAUCAGGUGGGCCAUAUGUUUAUCAUCUCAGUGAUAUAAAAAAUAUAUUGGCUGAAUAACGAAUAUGUUAAAUAUCUGUUAUCCAUUAUACAAUAUCGAAAUUAAGAACCCAGUAUCAUGGGUAUUAUAGGUAUCAUAUUACCAAUGCCUAAUAGUGUUGUAAUAAUAAAAAGGUCUAAAUCGAAAUGUUAUUUGUUCAUUAAUAAAAAGUAAUAAACAUAAUUACUAUAAUAAGUUGUUCACGAUAUCGAUAUAUAUACAUUAUAUCGAUAUUUUAUGUCCAUGAUGCUGCUCAGGUCUAUGGGUGGUCUAUAUACCACUUUCCAUCAGGUGGGCCGUCAGCUUGUUUGCCAUUCUAAGUUGUAUAAAAAAAAAGAUAUUGAUAUGUAAUAUUACUUAAUUUUUGACCUGUUUAUUAUAUUAUUUAGGACUAGCUUUUUACCUGUUACUUUGCACGCGUGGAUUUCAAAAGUAGAAAACUAAUAUAAUAUAAAUAGAAAUAGACUACAUGUAGAUAGCUUAUCAAGAUGAAACAUACAUCAGAUUUUAAGUAAAAUAUCCAAAAACACAACUGUGAAAACCGCAUCUAAUUUAUAAUAGUUUUUACGUAAAGCCAGAACAAACAUGUACACAGACAGAGAGAUAAACUUUCUAAAAAUUAUUGUUACGGCAUUUACUUGUUUUACUUCUACUUGAAAUCUAUGCGUACGAAAUAGCGGGCAAAAAGCUAGUAAUAAAUAUAAAUAAAAAAUCUAGGCAAAGCGUCGAAAUAACAAUAAGGUAAAUAAGUACAUACUUACCUAAUUGAUCGUAUUAAUUUCCGUUUCUUAUGAACUACUAGGUAUGUACCAAAUUGUUCCCGAAUGACUGCAUUCAAGCAAGCAACACGAACGUUUUUAGAAUGUUCGUAACAUGUUUUUGGUAUGUGCAUUAAAUAAUAAAUGGACAAGUAAAGGCAACGUUCGGUCUAACUCAACUUAAUAAAGUAAAUGAUGUUAA